rnacentral:rRNA from 1 species
GACGAACGCUGGCGGCGUGCUUAACACAUGCAAGUCGAACGGAAAGGCCCUGCUUUUGUGGGGUGCUCGAGUGGCGAAAGGGGGAGUAACACGUGAGUAACCUGCCCUUGACUUUGGGAUAACUUCUGGAAAAUGGGGCUAAUACCGGAUAGGAGCUCCUGCUGCAUGGGGGGGGUUGGAAAGUGUCGGCGGUUGGGGAUGGACUCGCGGCUUAUCAGCUUGUUGGUGGGGUAGUGGCGUACAAAGGCUUUGAGGGGUAGCCGGCCUGAGAGGGUGACCGGCCACAUUGGGCCUGGGGUAGGGCCCGGACUGCUACGGGGGGCAGCAGUGGAGGUUUUUGCGCGAUGGGCGGAGGCCUGGUGCAGCAACGCCGCGUGCGGGAUGUCGGCUUGCGGGUUGUAAACCGCUUGCGCCUGUAACGAAGCGUGAGUGACGGUAAUGGGUCAAGAAGCACCGGCUAACUACGUG